rnacentral:rRNA from 1 species
CCUACGGGUGGCUGCAGUGGGGAAUAUUGGACAAUGGGCGAAAGCCUGAUCCAGCCAUGCCGCGUGUGUGAAGAAGGCCUUCGGGUUGUAAAGCACUUUCAGUGGGGAAGAAAGCCUUGGGGCUAAUACCCUCGAGGAAGGACAUCACCCACAGAAGAAGCACCGGCUAACUCCGUGCCAGCAGCCGCGGUAAUACGGAGGGUGCGAGCGUUUAAUCGGAAUUACUGGGCGUAAAGCGCGCGUAGGCGGUCUGAUAAGCCGGUUGUGAAAGCCCCGGGCUCAACCUGGGACCGGCAUCCGGAACUGUCAGGCUAGAGUGCAGGAGAGGAAGGUAGAAUUCCCGGUGUAGCGGUGAAAUGCGUAGAGAUCGGGAGGAAUACCAGUGGCGAAGGCGGCCUUCUGGACUGACACUGACGCUGAGGUGCGAAAGCGUGGGUAGCAAACAGGAUUAGAACCCCAGUAGUC